rnacentral:rRNA from 1 species
AUUGAACGCUGGCCGCAUGCUUUACACAUGCAAGUCGAACGGUAACAGGCCGCAAGGUGCUGACGAGUGGCGAACGGGUGAGUAAUGCAUCGGAACGUGCCCAGUCGUGGGGGAUAACUACUCGAAAGAGUAGCUAAUACCGCAUACGAUCUAUGGAUGAAAGCGGGGGACCGUAAUGCCUCGCGCGAUUGGAGCGGCCGAUGUCAGAUUAGGUAGUUGGUGGGGUAAAGGCUCACCAAGCCAACGAUCUGUAGCUGGUCUGAGAGGACGACCAGCCACACUGGGACUGAGACACGGCCCAGACUCCUACGGGAGGCAGCAGUGGGGAAUUUUGGACAAUGGGCGCAAGCCUGAUCCAGCAAUGCCGCGUGCAGGAAGAAGGCCUUCGGGUUGUAAACUGCUUUUGUACGGAACGAAACGGCUCUGGUUAAUACCCGGGGCUAAUGACGGUACCGUAAGAAUAAGCACCGGCUAACUACGUG